ACAAUAGGUUCAGUAACGUUUGGCCUCACUUUUGUCUCUGCAGGGAGAGUUCGGAGUCUACCUUGUAUCAGAUGGGACAAGCCGACCAUACCGCUGUAAAAUUAAAGCCCCGGGAUUUGCUCAUUUGGCUGGUUUAGAUAAGAUGGCUCGAGGUCAUAUGCUUGCAGAUGUUGUUGCUAUCAUUGGAACACAGGACAUUGUUUUCGGGGAAGUGGAUCGAUAAUGUUUCUUCCAUGCCAAAGUAAGCUGGAGGGAGUACAUAGAAGCUCAGCCUGAUGCCCAGCUACCCGAUAGUUUUGUUGUGGACUCUUUGUCGAGAACAGAAGCAAAUGUCUGAUUAUUUAAGAUUGUGCUUUCGUACCUCAUGCUGAAAAUAAAUGCUCUGUUUUCUCUA